GACCCUGCCAGUAGCAUAUGCUUGUCUCUGAGACUAAGCCAUGCAUGUCUAAGUAUAAAUUAAUUUUUACGGUGAAACUGCGGACGGCUCAUUAAAUCAGUUAUAACCUACUUGAUCGUGUGACUUUAUUCGGAUAACCCUAGUAAUUCUAGAGCUAAUACGUGCUAAAAGCCUUAACUUCCAGCAAUGGGGGAAGAGGUGUAUUUAUUAGAAACUAAAACCAAUCAGCUUCGGCUGUUUGAGAUGAUUCAUAAUAACUCGGCAAAUUACGGGAAAAUUCCUGUGAUGAUUCAAACGGAUUUCUGACCUAUCAACUUUAGAUGGCAAAGUAGGGGUUUGCCAUGGUGACAACGGGUGACGGGGAAUUAGGGUUCGAUUCCGGAGAGGGAGCCUGAGAAACGGCUACCACUUCCGAGGAAGGCAGCAGGCGCGCAAAUUACCCAAUGCUAAUUCGGCGAGGUAGUGACAAGAAAUACCAAUGUAGGACCCAACGGGUACUACGUUUGGAAUGAGAACAAUUUAAAAACCUUAACGAGGAACAAUUGGAGGGCAAGUCUGGUGCCAGCAGCCGCGGUAAUUCCAGCUCCAAUAGUGUAUAUUAAAGUUGCUGCGGUUAAAAAGCUCGUAGUUGGAUUACGAAGUGGUGUUUAAAUGUCAUUUUGGUUUGUUUGUCUUUCGGGGCAUUCAGGUCAACUUGGCUUUUACUCACUGUUGUCAUUGUCUUUGCCCAAGGUAUAUGCCUUGUGUGCAUGGCAUUGACCUUCUAUUUUAUGGUAAUGUUGUAUCUUUCGGGGUACAUUCAUUCCAUAUAGUUUACUUUGAAAAAAUUAGGGUGUUUAAAGCAGGCGAAAAGGCUUCGGAAUAUAUUAGCAUGGGAUAAUAGAAUACGAUCUAGGUCGUAAUUUGUUGGUUUCUACGGCUUAGGUAAUGAUUGACAGGGAUAGUUGGGGUCGCUCGUAUUGAGUUGUCAGAGGUGAAAUUCUAGGAUUAACUCAAGACGAACUAAUGCGAAAGCAUUCGGCAAGGAUGUUUUCAUUAAUCAAGAACGAAAGUUGGGGGAUCGAAGAUGAUCAGAUACCGUCGUAGUCUCAACUGUAAACUAUGUCGACCGAGGAUCCGGUAGCGUUACAUGGAUGACCUUCCGGGCACUCUGUGAGAAAUCAUAAGUAUUUGGAUUUCGGGGGGAGUAUGGUCGCAAGGCUGAAACUUAAAGGGAUUGACGGAAGGGCACCACCAGGAGUGGAAUCUGCGGCUUAAUUUGACUCAACACGGGAAAACUUACCAGGUCCGGACACAGUGAGGAUUGACAGAUUGAGAGCUCUUUCUUGAUUUUGUGGGUGGUGGUGCAUGGCCGUUUUUAGUUGGUGGAGUGAUUUGUCUGGUUAAUUCCGUUAACGAACGAGACCUUAACCUAUUAAAUAGCUGCGCGAACCCAGGUUCUUUAACCAUUCUCUCCUUCGGGGGGGCGUGGUAUCA
rnacentral:rRNA from 1 species